rnacentral:rRNA from 1 species
CAGUCGCCGCGGUAAUACAGAGGGUGCAGGCGUUAAUCGGAAUUACUGGGCGUAAAGCGCGCGUAGGUGGUUCGCCAAGUUGGAUGUGAAAUCCCCGGGCUCAACCUGGGAACUGCAUCCAAAACUGGCGAGCUAGAGUAUGGUAGAGGGUGGUGGAAUUUCCUGUGUAGCGGUGAAAUGCGUAGAUAUAGGAAGGAACAUCAGUGGCGAAGGCGACCACCUGGACUGAUACUGACACUGAGGUGCGAAAGCGUGGGGAGCAAACAGGAUUAGAUACCCCGGUAGUCCCUGUCUCUUAUAA